rnacentral:rRNA from 1 species
UACAGAGGUCUCAAGCGUUGUUCGGAUUCAUUGGGCGUAAAGGGUGCGUAGGCGGCGCGGUAAGUCGGGUGUGAAAUCUCGGGGCUUAACUCCGAAACUGCAUUCGAUACUGCCGUGCUUGAGGACUGGAGAGGAGACUGGAAUUUACGGUGUAGCGGUGGAAUGCGCAGAUAUCAGGAGGAACACCAAUAGCGAAGGCAGCUCGCUGGGACGGUAUUGACGCUGAGGCGCGAAAGCGUGGGGAGCAAACAGG